AACGAACGCUGGCGGCAUGCCUAACACAUGCAAGUCGAACGAUCCCUUCGGGGAUAGUGGCGCACGGGUGCGUAACGCGUGGGAACCUGCCCUUAGGUUCGGAAUAACUCAGAGAAAUUUGAGCUAAUACCGGAUAAUGUCUUCGGACCAAAGAUUUAUCGCCUUUGGAUGGGCCCGCGUUGGAUUAGCUAGUUGGUGGGGUAAGGGCCUACCAAGGCGACGAUCCAUAGCUGGUCUGAGAGGAUGAUCAGCCACACUGGGACUGAGACACGGCCCAGACUCCUACGGGAGGCAGCAGUGGGGAAUAUUGGACAAUGGGCGAAAGCCUGAUCCAGCAAUGCCGCGUGAGUGAUGAAGGCCUUAGGGUUGUAAAGCUCUUUUACCCGGGAUGAUAAUGACAGUACCGGGAGAAUAAGCCCCGGCUAACUCCGUG
rnacentral:rRNA from 1 species